rnacentral:tRNA from 1 species
UGGCUUAAUGGUAGAGCACUUGCCUAGUAUGCACAAAGCUCUGGGUUCCAUUCCCAG